rnacentral:lncRNA from 1 species
CCUCAAGCUGCACCCACAAUCAUGCGUGCUGCCCAAAGUGUCUAAUUUAACACCAAAGUUAUGUUGCCUUUUGGCUGUAAGCGUUGAAUCGUUUCUCUAAGAUCAAGGUGGUUUAUAGUUUGUCUUGCUAAGCAUCUAAUAUUCAAAUCUUUUUCUCCUCUUUUCAUCAUCCUCCUUGAUGAUGGAAUCACUUACCAUCCUCACCUAAGAAAGUUAUUAUCAGGAUAUUCUGCAUGAUAGAAAGCCAUAAUCGCAAUUGAUAUGGAUGAAGAAUUUUGCCUAGGUUGAAGUCGAGGUGUUCGCCUUUGUUGGUGCUGAGAUAAGGGUAACCUCAAUUCUGUCCGAUCCUAGUUGUAGUGGACCCAAAGUAUCUUUAGAAUUGACUCAAGUUGACAUAGUGGGAAAGAUUAACCCAUGGCUCUAUGCGGUUUUUCGAAUCCUGCGAUCAUCGAUAACAACUAACGAUGAGUAGAUAAGGCAAUGGACAACCAUCGAAUCUUGCAAAAUCAGGCAAGUGAUAUGAGGAGUGUUGCACCCGCUAUGGCAAGAAUGACGCCCUAUGCUCUUGCCUCCUUGCUGCAUCCAUUCUCUGGUUAUAGACUCACAGGGGAUCCCAAGGUAUGCACAAAAUCUCUCUCAUGUUCGUUUCUUUCCAUUUGUUUCAGAUUCUUGACUUGAGCGUCUGGUAGAAUCAAUUUUGGUUUGAGACUUAUUUUGCAGGUAGUACCGCCGCUGUCCUGUUAUCACCAUCUAUCUCUAGCCAAGCUGACCUGAGUCAAGAAAUCAAUAGCAAUAGAUUGGCACUAAAAGAAGAGCUAGACCCAUUUUUGGGAAGGAGCAAGAAGCCAAACAUCAUGCUUCUAUACAGAGGAACCUUAUCACAUCGCUCCAAUGCUACAAAUCCUAGGCCGAUCGAAGACUCGGCCAACACCCACACUUAAUCAGAAGCCCCACCUCCACUGCCCCAGUUGGUUGGGGUAGAUCCCGAUCGGUUUAACCUGUUGGUCUAGUAGGUGCCAGAUUUAUCUGUGGCAAUCCAGGUGAUGCAGCAAGCCAGUCCCAGGGCUACGAGAGGUGCCAUCAAUCAGAAUCGCCUCAACCACCCCCGCACAAUCUGAAGCAGAGAAAAUAGGCCCGACACAGUCAACUUGAGAAUCUCGAAUGGAGGAGACGGUCUCCAACUCCCCGAUCUAGUCAAGGCUCUACUCCGGGCCGAUCUCCGUCAUGGCACCUGAAGACCUAUUGUGCCUGAGACGCUGAUGUCGACUAUAGAUUAUAAGAGAUGAAUCAGCAAAUUGAGACACUACAUAAUCAAGUCUCGGCCCAGAAUAGUGGGUUCGGUUUCAAUAUUGACCCACCUUUUAGUGCC